rnacentral:lncRNA from 1 species
GUUCAUAACCAUGUCGCAGUUCAAAACAUCUUGAAAUAUAUUAGAAGAGACCUCUCCUCUUCAUAUCCUUUCCUUGAAAAAAAUCGCGAAAUACACUGGGGAAAAGACAAGUUUACAUGUUUGGUGCAUCACUAUGCUUAGCUGAUAAGAUUUCUGAGCAUUUUUUUUUUGGAUGCCACGUUAUGCCCAUUGAGGAGAAGGUAUG